GAACGCGAAGAACCUUACCCGGGCUUGAAUUGCAGAGGAAGGAUUUAGAGAUAAUGACGCCCUUCGGGGCCUCUGUGAAGGUGCUGCAUGGUUGUCGUCAGCUCGUGCCGUGAGGUGUCGGCUUAAGUGCCAUAACGAGCGCAACCCCUCUAUUCAGUUGCCAUCAGGUUAAGCUGGGCACUCUGGAGACACUGCCACCGUAAGGUGUGAGGAAGGUGGGGAUGACGUCAAAUCAGCACGGCCCUUACGUCCGGGGCUACACACGUGUUACAAUGGCCGGUACAGAGGGAUGGUGUAAUGCAAAUUGCAUCAAAUCUUGAAAGCCGGUCCCAGUUCGGACUGGGGUCUGCAACCCGACCCCACGAAGCUGGAUUCGCUAGUAAUCGCGCAUCAGCCAUGGCGCGGUGAAUACGUUCCCGGGUCUUGUACACACC
rnacentral:rRNA from 1 species